rfam:Octopus bimaculoides Scaffold30472_contig_124, whole genome shotgun sequence.
AUGUACCUGAAGAGACCCAGAACGGGUCGAAACAUGUGUUGUACCU